GUGGCAAACUUUUGCAUGUUGCAUUAACUAGUAAUUUAACGUGACUUCAUGUUGCCACAUAAAUUAAAAAAAAAAAAGUGGUUCCUGCCGACAGGGCCUGUCCAGACAUCGGGUUCCCUGUGCGAUGGCUCCAUACAGG
rfam:Xenopus laevis strain J chromosome 3S, whole genome shotgun sequence.